ensembl:rRNA 5S_rRNA 5S ribosomal RNA
GCUUACGGCCAUACCAUCCUGAAUGCGCCUGAUUUCGUCAGAUCUCGGAAGCUAAGCAGGGUCGGGCCUGGUUAGUACUUGGAUGGGAGACUUCCUGGGAAUACCCGGUGCUGUAAGCA